GACGAACGCUGGCGGCGUGCCUAAUACAUGCAAGUCGAGCGAGCUGAACCAACAGAUUCACUUCGGUGAUGACGUUGGGAACGCGAGCGGCGGAUGGGUGAGUAACACGUGGGGAACCUGCCCCAUAGUCUGGGAUACCACUUGGAAACAGGUGCUAAUACCGGAUAAGAAAGCAGAUCGCAUGAUCAGCUUAUAAAAGGCGGCGUAAGCUGUCGCUAUGGGAUGGCCCCGCGGUGCAUUAGCUAGUUGGUAGGGUAACGGCCUACCAAGGCAAUGAUGCAUAGCCGAGUUGAGAGACUGAUCGGCCACAUUGGGACUGAGACACGGCCCAA
rnacentral:rRNA from 1 species